rnacentral:rRNA from 1 species
UAGGGAAUAUUGGACAAUGGGUGAGAGCCUGAUCCAGCCAUGCCGCGUGCAGGAAGAAGGCGUUAUGCGUUGUAAACUGCUUUUUGCCAGGGGAUAAAAUGACCGUGCGCGGUUAAUUGAAGGUACCUGGUGAAUAAGCCACGGCUAACUACGUGCCAGCAGCCGCGGUAAUACGUAGGUGGCAAGCGUUGUCCGGAUUUAUUGGGUUUAAAGGGUGCGUAGGUGGCCCUGUAAGUCAGUGGUGAAAUAUCUCAGCUUAACUGAGAGGGUGCCAUUGAUACUGCAGGGCUUGAGUACAGAUGAGGUAGGCGGAAUUGACGGUGUAGCGGUGAAAUGCAUAGAUAUCGUCAAGAACACCGAUAGCGAAGGCAGCUUACCAAGCUGUAACUGACACUGAGGCACGAAAGUAGUGGGGAUCAAACAGGAUUAGAUACCCUUGUAGUCCCUGAGCGGGCUGGCAAGGCGCAU